rnacentral:tRNA from 1 species
GGCCCAGUGGCCUAAUGGAUAAGGCAUCGGUCUCCUAAACCGGGGUUUGUGGGUUCAAGUCCCACCUGGGGUA